GGCCUCAUAGCUUAUCUGGUAGAGUGUGCGCUGUACCAAAGUGUAGGCGGAGUCCAUGCGUGGGUUUGAGUCCCACCUAGGCCG
rnacentral:tRNA from 1 species